UCCCCCAUCACCAAAUUCACAGACAACCGACAAUUAAUUUGAUUAUCUCCAAUUAGAAUUCCAAUAAAUGCAGGCCAAAAAGCAAGCCUUUGUUUUCAAUGGAGAACCUGAAAGCAGAACUCUUUACAGUUGGAAACGAAAAGAAGGUACCGUUGAAAGCAAAUGAAUAAAGGAUUUGAAUUUUCUUGAAGCUAGAAAAAGCUCUUUGUCCUUUCUUUUAUCUCAGUUUUGGGAUGAAGCAAGAGAUUGAGUGAAGGAACUCAAUUAACAAGCCAAAAACU
rnacentral:misc_RNA from 1 species